rnacentral:rRNA from 1 species
AUGGACAAGUAUCACAGCAACACUCGCUUUGGACCCCUCAACGACGCUCCAUUUGCUCUCCAUGGUGCCUCAGACUCAUCUUUCAACAACAUGGAUAACCUUAGACGCUCCUCAGGCAUUGGGCAAACAAAGAGCUAUGCAUCUUCUCCCUUAGGAGCUCUGCAACAGAAGAUGCCUCCAUCUGGAAAUCGAUCCUUACACACAAGUCGCCCCCUAUUAGCUCCUGUUGCAAACCGCCCAUUGUCUCCUCAUCUUCCUCUGAAGAAGCCACAGUUGAGCGCUACGUUCUCCAUCUCGCACCGUAUAUUUGGCGUUGCGCUGGCCGCUGCCAUCGUAUCCAUUCCUCUUGCUACCAAGUUCAGCCUCAUGUUUGGUGUCUGA